rnacentral:rRNA from 1 species
ACCCGCACAAGCGGUGGAGCAUGUGGUUUAAUUCGAAGAUACGCGAAGAACCUUACCCGGCCUUGACAUUGAUAGAAUCCUGUAGAGAUACGGGAGUGCUAGCUUGCUAGAACUUGAAAACAGGUGCUGCACGGCUGUCGUCAGCUCGUGUCGUGAGAUGUUGGGUUAAGUCCCGCAACGAGCGCAACCCCUAUUGUUAGUUGCCAUCAUUCAGUUGGGCACUCUAGCGAGACUGCCGGUAAUAAACCGGAGGAAGGUGGGGAUGACGUCAAAUCGUCAUGCCCCUUAUGACCUGGGCUACACACGUGCUACAAUGGUUGGUACAACGAGUUGCGAGUCGGUGACGGCGAGCUAAUCUCUUAAAGCCAAUCUCAGUUCGGAUUGUAGGCUGCAACUCGCCUACAUGAAGUCGGAAUCGCUAGUAAUCGCGGAUCAGCACGCCGCGGUGAAUACGUUCCCGGGCCUU